rnacentral:rRNA from 1 species
AUGUUAGCAUAUGAAACUCCAAUAAAAGACUUGAUGGCCCCACACAGAAUAAACCGAGAGUCGCCGGCCUCUUGGACACUGACACACACAAAAACAUUAGUCAGUCACUGCCCACUUGCAGAUGCAGCAAGCAGCUGUCACAUUGAAAAUGUCUCGCAUGAAAAGAAAGUUCAAUCGGGCACACCACAAAUUCAACGCAAAGAAGAAAAGAAGAGCGCACAUCAACAUCAGCCUACCAAAACGAUGUCAGUGCCACUGCCAGCCUUAUUAAAUUCAGUCAAUUUAUCGAGGAAACCAGAGUACAAAGUGUGUACAAUGAGUGGAAGACCAUUACGCAGAGACGGUGAUGGAGAUAGCUGCCGGCUUGAAAAAGAGCAGGCGAGCAGCAGACGGUCUCUCUCCCUCCCUCCCAAAAGGUUGGAAUAA